UUAAAGAGUUCUAUAACUCCCAAACCCAUGUGAACAUACCUAACGUUGCCUCGGCAGGUCGCACCUACCUUGUAGCACCCUACCCUGUAGGGCCUACCCGGGAGGUGCGGGUAAGCCUGCCGGCGGCCCACCAAACUCUGUUUGAUAUUGAAUUCUGAACCUAUAACUAAAUAAGUUAAAACUUUCAACAACGGAUCUCUUGGUUCUGGCAUCGAUGAAGAACGCAGCGAAAUGCGAUAAGUAAUGUGAAUUGCAGAAUUCAGUGAAUCAUCGAAUCUUUGAACGCAUAUUGCGCCCAUUAGUAUUCUAGUGGGCAGGACCGUUCGAGCGUCAUUUCAACCCUUAAGCCUUCGUUGCUUAGUGUUGGGAGCCUACGGCAACGUAGCUCCUCAAAGUUAGUGGCGGAGUUGGUUCACACUCUAGACGUAGUAAUUUUUUAUCUCGCCUAUUAGUUGGACUAAUCCCCUGCCGUAAAACCCCUAAUUUAUCAAGGUUGACCUCGAAUCGGUUCAGACAAACUCGCUAAAUUGAAGCAUCUUAGUCAGCGAAGGAAAAGAAACCAACAGGGAUUGCCCUAGUAACGGCGAGUGAAGCGGCAACA
rnacentral:rRNA from 1 species